UCCAGACAGCUCAGGCCUGUGGGGUGGGCCUGCACACAAGAUCCCGCACCUCCCGGCUGGAGGACUUCAGGACCAUGCCCUGGGGUGCCUGCGGGGCUGCUGCCACUGCAGGCGGACACGGCUGCCUUCAGGCGCCUUCCUGCCCCCGCCCCGCCCGUUGCCGGGCUGUCAUCGCUGGCUCCCUGGGCGCCACGCGGCCUCUGCUCACGUCUCUGUCGUGACGCGCACAGCCGCCGCCUCAACCCUGCUGAUCCACACCACUGCUGCUUCUCAACACGCGACGCGACGAGCCUGCUCGUUCUUCAGAGCAACUUCCGAGGCCGUGGCUUUCCCAGGCUCUGUACUGCCCGCGAGUCCGGCGGCGCGUGGCUGCUAGGCUGCUCUCCGGGGUUCCCACCUGCAGACAGGAAACCGAGGGGACCCACUAGGCGUGCCUCCCGGUGCUGGAGCGGCCAGACCGAGGCCCCUCCCCUGGUCAAGCCUCCUUACCUUGGGUGGAGACCUCAGGACAGGAGCGGGGUUCCGGAAGGCAAAGACAAGCCUCCUCAGCCUCAUCCCCCGAACACUCCACGCAGUUUCUGGGGGUCAAGCCAGCGGGGGUCAUCGAGGGUGGGGAAGGACAUGCCGCCGCCGCUCAAAGGUGGACAGACUGGACCUGCUGCGACCUGCAGCCGUCUGACUUGCGGCAAGUCCACGGUCACCCUGGCCCCACUCCAGUGGAGAAGCCGCAGCAUACGAGGAGGUGUGGGCAAAAAUCUAGUAGCAGCCACAAGUUCAAGAUCACUCUUAAGAAAACAAAACAACACACCCAACUUGGAUUUAAAAACCAACCAGAUACACACUGAGAAGACAGCCCUCACCUGCCCUGUGGGAGGGACCAUAGGGCGUGAGGGCUGGGUCUGCCGAGCUCAGGGGAGCCAUCCUGCCAGCAGGGUGUCACCAGCUGCUUCCUGCCUCCCGUUCUGUCCAGGGUGGCUUUCACUGUCGGGGCCUCGAACACCCCCAAAAGCACCCCCACAACUGAUUCCAGCAGGCUGCACACACUCUGCCCGACACACCCCUAACCUGCCGCCCAGGUGCCCCGUCAGCUAA
rnacentral:lncRNA from 1 species